rnacentral:rRNA from 1 species
CCAGACUCCUACGGGAGGCAGCAGUGGGGAAUAUUGCACAAUGGGGGGAACCCUGAUGCAGCGACGCCGCGUGGGUGAAGGAGCACCUCGGUGCGUAAAGCCCUAUCGGCAGGGAAGAAAAGCGAACAGGUUCGCCUGGACGGUACCUGACUAAGAAGCCCCGGCUAACUACGUGCCAGCAGCCGCGGUAAUACGUAGGGGGCAAGCGUUAUCCGGAUUCACUGGGUGUAAAGGGGGCGCAGGCGGCACGGCAAGUCUGGUGUGAAAGCCCGGGGCCCAACCCCGGGACUGCAUUGGAAACUGCCGGGCUGGAGUGCCGGAGGGGCAGGCGGAAUUCCUGGUGUAGCGGUGAAAUGCGCAGAUAUCAGGAGGAACACCGGUGGCGAAGGCGGCCUGCUGGACUGCAACUGACGUUGAGGCCCGAAAGCGUGGGGAGCAAACAGGAUUAGAUACCCUGGUACU